rfam:Gossypium hirsutum cultivar TM-1 chromosome 18, whole genome shotgun sequence
UGUUUAAAAUUUCAUUCAUAUGUACUGUUAAAAAUUAGUGUGGUUGGUGAAAUAAUUAAACAGUGACAUGUGACGUGCCAUGUAUGCAUCGUGUUAACGUACAUGAACCAAUUUUUAAGAGCAGAAAUGUAUGAAAUUCUUAACA